UACGUAGGGUGCAAGCGUUGUUCGGAAUCAUUGGGCGUAAAGCGCGUGUAGGUUGUUAAUUAAGUCGGGUGUGAAAUCCCUCGGCUCAACCGAGGAAGUGCAUCCGAAACUAAUUAGCUAGAGGAUGGUAGAGGAAGGUGGAAUUCCUAGUGUAGAGGUGAAAUUCGUAGAUAUUAGGAGGAAUACCGGCGGCGAAGGCGGCCUUCUGGACCAUUUCUGACACUGAGACGCGAAAGCGUGGGUAGCAAACAGG
rnacentral:rRNA from 1 species